rnacentral:rRNA from 1 species
CCUACGGGGGUCUGCAGUGGGGAAUAUUGGACAAUGGGCGAAAGCCUGAUCCAGCCAUGCCGCGUGUGUGAAGAAGGCCUUCGGGUUGUAAAGCACUUUCAGUGGGGAAGAAAGCCUUGGGGCUAAUACCCUCGAGGAAGGACAUCACCCACAGAAGAAGCACCGGCUAACUCCGUGCCAGCAGCCGCGGUAAUACGGAGGGUGCGAGCGUUAAUCGGAAUUACUGGGCGUAAAGCGCGCGUAGGCGGUCUGAUAAGCCGGUUGUGAAAGCCCCGGGCUCAACCUGGGAACGGCAUCCGGAACUGUCAGGCUAGAGUGCAGGAGAGGAAGGUAGAAUUCCCGGUGUAGCGGUGAAAUGCGUAGAGAUCGGGAGGAAUACCAGUGGCGAAGGCGGCCUUCUGGACUGACACUGACGCUGAGGUGCGAAAGCGUGGGUAGCAAACAGGAUUAGAUACCCGUGUAGUC